rnacentral:snoRNA from 1 species
AAACCAUGAUGGGGACACUCUAAGAGAAGAUCCUUAAAACAUUCCAUACACCUAGAAAAUGAUUCAUUUGGUUUUUGAAGAAACUGGAGUAUGUCAUUCCUAAGUUU